ensembl:lncRNA
CGAAGCUCACCUGGAAGGGACAUAUUGAGAAAGUGGUUAAUAAAUAUCAGUGGGUAGCGGUAAUGCGCCCGAAAGCUGUUUGCCAACCGCCAUAAAGAUCAAAAGAAAAAGAAGAAGAAGAACUACCGCUUAAGCUGCUGGCAGACUGCACACUGUCCAAGUUUGUCACACACUAAACUUUUUGUGGAAACUGAAAAUAUGGGGGGUUCUCCACGUCCAAGGUUUGGUUCACCUUGGUUGGUCUCCUAGUUCUCAUGCAGGGCUCUAUAAUGCCUGAGCAUAGAUGAGUCAUCAACACAAGCCUCGAUUCGCGCUUCAUAAAAAUCGUCCUGGAUUACUCGACACAAGCUUCGAAGCCUCGACACGAACGUCACAUCACUAAUUUUCUCAUACUUUUUCUGUCUAGGCUGUUUUUAUUGACGUGUCU